rnacentral:rRNA from 1 species
UACGUAGGGUGCGAGCGUUAAUCGGAAUUACUGGGCGUAAAGCGUGCGCAGGCGGUUAUGUAAGACAGGUGUGAAAUCCCCGGGCUUAACCUGGGAACUGCAUUUGUGACUGCAUAGCUAGAGUACGGUAGAGGGGGAUGGAAUUCCGCGUGUAGCAGUGAAAUGCGUAGAGAUCGGUAGGAACACCAGUGGCGAAGGCGGUCUCCUGGGGUUAUCUUGACGCUGAUGCGCGAAAGCUGGGGGAGCGAACGGG